rnacentral:snoRNA from 1 species
UUACAUGAUGAUCACAACCUACUUUUUUUUUCUGGUACCUCUUAUGUUAGGGUUCUUCGAACUCAAUGAAUGAAGCGGACUUCUGACU